GCCUUAUCAAGAGAGGUGGAGGGAUACGGCCCUAUGAAACCCAGCAACCGCCCGUUAGGGUACGGUGCUAAUUCCUGCAAAAUUUUGCAAGAUGAGGA
rnacentral:ncRNA from 2 species